UACGGAGGGCGCGAGCGUUAAUCGGAAUUACUGGGCGUAAAGCGCGCGUAGGCUGUUGUGUAAGUUGGGGGUGAAAUCCCACGGCUCAACCGUGGAACAGCCCUUGAUACUGCGCGACUUGAAUCCGGGAGAGGGUGGCGGAAUUCCAGGUGUAGGAGUGAAAUCCGUAGAUAUCUGGAGGAACAUCAGUGGCGAAGGCGGCCACCUGGACCGGUAUUGACGCUGAGGCGCGAAAGCGUGGGGAGCAUACAGG
rnacentral:rRNA from 1 species